rnacentral:rRNA from 1 species
CUACGGGUGGCACCAGUGGGGAAUAUUGGACAAUGGGGGAAACCCUGAUCCAGCAAUGCCGCGUGUGUGAAGAAGGCCUGCGGGUUGUAAAGCACUUUCGGUUGGGAGGACUGCUUCUAGCACUAAUAUUGUUGGAAGUUGACGUUACCUUCAGAAGAAGCACCGGCUAACUCCGUGCCAGCAGCCGCGGUAAUACGGAGGGUGCAAGCGUUAAUCGGAAUUACUGGGCGUAAAGCGCGCGUAGGCGGCUAGAUCAGUCGGGUGUGAAAGCCCCGGGCUUAACCUGGGAACUGCAUCCGAUACUGUCUAGCUUGAGUACAGGAGAGGAGAGUGGAAUUCCACACGUAGCGGUGAAAUGCGUAGAUAUGUGGAGGAACACCAAUGGCGGAGGCAGCUCUCUGGCCUGAUACUGACGCUGAGGUGCGAAAGCGUGGGGAGCAGACAGGAUUAGAUACCCCCGUAGUC